rnacentral:rRNA from 1 species
AUGAACGCUGGCGGCGUGCCUAAUACAUGCAAGUCGAGCGAACAGACGAGGAGCUUGCUCCUCUGACGUUAGCGGCGGACGGGUGAGUAACACGUGGAUAACCUACCUAUAAGACUGGGAUAACUUCGGGAAACCGGAGCUAAUACCGGAUAAUAUAUUGAACCGCAUGGUUCAAUAGUGAAAGACGGUUUUGCUGUCACUUAUAGAUGGAUCCGCGCCGCAUUAGCUAGUUGGUAAGGUAACGGCUUACCAAGGCAACGAUGCGUAGCCGACCUGAGAGGGUGAUCGGCCACACUGGAACUGAGACACGGUCCAGACUCCUACGGGAGGCAGCAGUAGGGAAUCUUCCGCAAUGGGCGAAAGCCUGACGGUGCAACGCCGCGUGAGUGAUGAAGGUCUUCGGAUCGUAAAACUCUGUUAUUAGGGAAGAACAAAUGUGUAAGUAACUAUGCACGUCUUGACGGUACCUAAUCAGAAAGCCACGGCUAACUACGUG